rnacentral:rRNA from 1 species
UACGUAGGGACGAGCGUUGUCCGGAAUUACUGGGCGUAAAGGGUGCGUAGGCGGUCUUUCAAGCCAGAAGUGAAAGGCUACGGCUCAACCGUAGUAAGCUUUUGGAACUGUAAGACUUGAGUGCAGGAGAGGAGAGUGGAAUUCCUAGUGUAGCGGUGAAAUGCGUAGAUAUUAGGAGGAACACCAGUUGCGAAGGCGGAUCUCUGGACUGUAACUGACACUGAGGCACGAAAGCGUGGGGAGCAAACAGGAUUAGAUACCUGCGUAGUCCCU